GAUGAACGCUGGCGGCGUGCCUAAUACAUGCAAGUCGAGCGAACGGACGAGAAGCUUGCUUCUCUGAUGUUAGCGGCGGACGGGUGAGUAACACGUGGAUAACCUACCUAUAAGACUGGUAUAACUUCGGGAAACCGGAGCUAAUACCGGAUAAUAUUUUGAACCGCAUGGUUCAAAAGUGAAAGACGGUCUUUCUGUCUCUUAUAGAUGGAUCCGCGCUGCAUUAGCUAGUUGGUAAGGUAACGGCUUACCAAGGCAACGAUGCAUAGCCGACCUGAGAGGGUGAUCGGCCACACUGGAACGGAGACACGGUCCAGACUCCUACGGGAGGCAGCAGUAGGGAAUGUUACGCAAUGGGCGAAAGCAUGACGGAGCAACGCCGCGUGAGUGAUGAAGGUCUUCGGAUCGUAAAACUCUGUUAUUAGGGAAGAACAGAUGUGUAAGGAACUGUGCAGAGAGUGACGGUACCUAAUCAGAAAGCAACGGCUAACUACGUG
rnacentral:rRNA from 1 species